CCUACGGGAGGCAGCAGUGAGGAAUAUUGGUCAAUGGGCGAGAGCCUGAACCAGCCAAGUCGCGUGAAGGAUGACGGCCCUACGGGUUGUAAACUUCUUUUGUCAGGGAGCAAUUGGGUCCACGCGUGGGCGUAGCCUGAGUACCUGAAGAAAACGCAUCGGCUAACGCCGUGCCAGCAGCCGCGGUAAUACGGAGGAUGCGAGCGUUAUCCGGAUUUAUUGGGUGUAAAGGGUGCGUAGGCGGUCGGAUAAGUUAGAGGUGAAAUCCCGAGGCUCAACUUCGGAAUUGCCUCUGAUACUGUUCGGCUAGAGAGUAGGUGCGGUAGGCGGAAUGUAUAGUGUAGCGGUGAAAUGCGUAGAGAUCAGACAGAACACCGAUUGCGAAGGCAGCUUACCAAGCUACUUCUGACGUUGAGGCACGAAAGCGUGGGGAGCAAACAGGAUUAGAUACCCCGGUAGUC
rnacentral:rRNA from 1 species